rnacentral:rRNA from 1 species
GAUGAACGCUAGCGGGAGGCCUAAUACAUGCAAGUCGAGCGGGAUACACCUUCGGGUGUUGAGAGCGGCGAACGGGUGAGUAACGCGUACGUAACCUGCCCCAUAGCGGAGGAUAGCCCCGGGAAACUGGGAUUAAUACUCCAUAGUAUCUUGUUAUCGCAUGAUGAUGAGAUUAAAGUUGAGGCGCUAUGGGAUGGGCGUGCGUGCUAUUAGCUAGUUGGUGAGGUAACGGCUCACCAAGGCUACGAUAGCUAGGGGGCGUGAGAGCGUGGCCCCCCACACGGGUACUGAGACACGGACCCGACUCCUACGGGAGGCAGCAGUAAGGAAUAUUGGACAAUGGUCGAAAGACUGAUCCAGCCAUCCCGCGUGAAGGAUGACUGCCCUACGGGUUGUAAACUUCUUUUAUAUGGGAAGAAACCCCUGGUUGCGACUGGGGCUGACGGUACCAUAUGAAUAAGCACCGGCUAACUCCGUGCCAGCAGCCGCGGUAAUACGGAGGGUGCAAGCGUUAUCCGGAAUCACUGGGUUUAAAGGGUGCGUAGGUGGCGAUGUAAGUCAGAGGUGAAAGCCCGGCGCUCAACGUCGGAAUUGCCUUUGAUACUGCGUUGCUUGAAUGAGGUUGAGGUAGGCGGAAUGUGGCAUGUAGCGGUGAAAUGCAUAGAUAUGCCAU